rnacentral:rRNA from 1 species
CCAAUAGCGUAUAUUAAAGUUGUUGCAGUUAAAAAGCUCGUAGUUGAAUUUCGGGAUCAAUACGUCGGUCGUGCUUUCGGGUACGUACUGGUGUCAUUGGUUUCUCCUUUCUGACGAACCAUGAUGUCAUUAAUUUGGUGUUAUGGGGAGUUAGGACUGUUACUUUGAAAAAAUUAGAGUGUUUAAAGCAGGCAUUAGCUUGAAUACAUUAGCAUGGAAUAAUGAAAUAGGACGUUCGAUCCUAUUUUGUUGGUUUCUAGGAUCAACGAAAUGAUUAAUAGGGAUAGUUGGGGGCAGUAGUAUUCAAUUGUCAGAGGUGAAAUUCUUGGAUUUAUUGAAGACUAACUACUGCGAAAGCAUUUGCCAAGGAUGUUUUCAUUAAUCAAGAACGAAAGUUAGGGGAUCGAAGACGAUCAGAUACCGUCGUAGUCUUAACCAUAAACUAUGCCGACUAGGGAUCGGAUGAUGUUAAUUUUUUAAUGACUCAUUCGGCGCCUUACG